rnacentral:miRNA from 1 species
AUAUCAUUGGUGAUGUAUCGUCUU